GCCAGUAUGGUGUAGCGGUUUGAGUGCUGGACUACAAUUCUGGAAACCUGGGUUCAAAUCCCAGCUUGGCCA